rnacentral:lncRNA from 1 species
ACACAUGGUUUUUAAAGAUGCACCAGGAGCCAGCAAGAUGACUCUGAAGAUGGAGAAAAUGAUGCUGACUUUUCUAGGCUUUCAAUUGGAGGCAUGCCAGUAAGGCUUGCAAUAAUUCUCAGCAUGGUGAUAUAACCAUUUUCCACACUGAACUAUGAUGGUUCCUUCUCAAACACUUGCAGUUGCACUUUCAUCCUCCGACUCAAAAUGAGUGUAAUGUCUUUACUAAAUGUUUCCAGCUACAAGGUUAAAUAGGUACUUACACAAGUGAUAUGAUCAACAUUUUUGUGACCGUGUACUUUGCAUCUUUAUAACUGGACUAUGAACACAGUAGCUUAGAUAGCUCUGUUGUUUUAGCCAAUAUAUAACAGCUUAACAUAUUCAUGAUGGCUCUUGGAAGCCUAUGAAAUCAAGCUACUGAAAUAGUAGAAGCUUUAUUUGGCUUGUGAUAAUUAUUUUUUGACCAAUUGUACAUUUUGGUCAAGAUUGUAUCCAUAUACAAUUUGGAUCUAGGAGUCUUCUAUUUUUUGUCAUUACUGUGAUGAAUGGUAGUGUCAUGUCCUAUCUGUGGAACAUUUAGAAUUGGACUUUUAGAGAAAUAUCUGAUAUGAGCAACUAAAUCCCAUGUAUUAAAGUAAUCUUGCUCAAGAAUCCACUAAGUGGAAAUCACAGAAAAUCACAUUAAAUUGUUUAAACUGUGUUUUAGAUGCCUGAUAAUUAUUAGAAGAAGAGGCUUCAUGGAAAAUACAAGGAGAUAGGUAAGAUUGGAAUUGGUAUCAUGAUCGGACCAAUUUUCAAAAGAUUACCAUGAUCCAUAUUUAAGGGUCAUUAUAGUAUAGUGGGUGCUGAUAUACCAUCUAGAUUCCUCUUUCAUAUGGGAAUUAUUGAGGUCCUAGAAGAAAGUACUUCAGUUGUCAACCUUUUCAGGGCCUGCUUUCUUUGUAGAUUAGUAGCUUUCUUAAGGGCUUAAUCUUUUCCCAUGUUCAAAUUCUAACUAUCAUGGCUCAAAUUAAGAAAAGAAUUGUUAGCCAAUUUUAAUUGCAGUGUUCUCCACGACAUAUGUCAAGUUUUCCUUUUGCUCAUUUCUGCUUCUCCUAGUGUCCUUCCUCAAAUAUCAGUCAAAUGCCCCUUUAAUAAUGCUAACCAUUAUGUCAUACUUUAAUUAUCUAUAACUAGUCUGAUUAUUACCUGACAUAUAAACACUUAUCUCUUUCUUAGUAACUGAAAUGUAUUUUCUAAUAAAUCAUGUAUUCCUAUUUUGGGCUAUGCUACA